GCUCUUGUAGCUCAAUGGUCAAGCAUUGCCUCUGGAAGCCACAUGUCGGUGGCUCGAUUCCACUUAGACGCA